AACCGGAGGGCGAGAGGCGGAGGCCGGGAGGACGAUCCUGGCAGCCCCAGCGCCCUGAGAGCCCGGCUGGAGAAGCUGGAGGCCAUGUAUCGCAGGGCCCUGCUGCAGCUGCGCCUCGAGCAGCAAAGCACGCGCCCGCGGACGGAGAAGGAGGAGCCGCCUCUGCGCGACCCGAAGACCCCCGGACCCUGGCUGUAGCCCGAGGCCACGAUAGGGGGCGGGGCUACCUCGAGCCCCGCCCCUUUCCUGGAACCCGGAUCGCCCCUGGCUGGGUGGCGGUACAGAGAGCGCAGGCUCCAUGUACCCAGUGCGCCUGUCUCGGCCUGCUGGCUGGCUCCUCUCUGAGUCCCAGAGGCUUGUGAAAUUUUCUUUAUAAGAACUUGGACAUUUGGAGGUCCUGGGUCGCGAGGAACACACUCCGAAUCAGCCCGCUGCAGACAGGCAGGUCUGUGCACGCCCUACCGAAGUCCUGAGUCACGCGGAGGACGCCCAGGCAGCCCAAUGCAGAUAGGCAGGUCUGUGCACGCCCUGCCGAGGUCCUGAGUCACGCGGAAGACACCGAAUCACCCCACUGCAGACAGGCAGCCACCUGAUUCCACAUUACCAAGGUGCAGAGGACACCAGAACACCAGACCAAGGUACGGAGUCCCACUGUUCCUGGCCCAGAGGUAGGGGCUUCUGAGCCGUCGACCCACUGCUCCUGGUCCAGAGGGAGGGG
rnacentral:lncRNA from 1 species